GACGAACGCUGGCGGCGUGCCUAAUACAUGCAAGUCGAACGCUUCUUUCCUCCCGAGUGCUUGCACUCAAUUGGAAAGAGGAGUGGCGGACGGGUGAGUAACACGUGGGUAACCUACCCAUCAGAGGGGGAUAACACUUGGAAACAGGUGCUAAUACCGCAUAACAGUUUAUGCCGCAUGGCAUAAGAGUGAAAGGCGCUUUCGGGUGUCGCUGAUGGAUGGACCCGCGGUGCAUUAGCUAGUUGGUGAGGUAACGGCUCACCAAGGCCACGAUGCAUAGCCGACCUGAGAGGGUGGUCGGCCACACUGGGACUGAGACACGGCCCAGACUCCUACGGGAGGCAGCAGUAGGGAAUCUUCGGCAAUGGACGAAAGUCUGACCGAGCAACGCCGCGUGAGUGAAGAAGGCUUUCGGAUCGUAAAACUCUGUUGUUAGAGAAGAACAAGGACGUUAGUAACUGAACGUCCCCUGACGGUAUCUAACCAGAAGGCCACGGCUAACUACGUG
rnacentral:rRNA from 1 species